CCUACGGGUGGCAGCAGUAGGGAAUUUUCGUCAAUGGGCGCAAGCCUGAACGAGCGAUGCCGCGUGAGUGAAGAAGGCCUUCUGGUUGUAAAGCUCUGUUUCGGGGGAAAAAAGGCAGCAGCCGUAAAUGGGUGCUGACUGAUGGUGCCCCGCCAGAAAGUCACGGCUAACUACGUGCCAGCAGCCGCGGUAAUACGUAGGUGGCGAGCGUUAUCCGGAAUGAUUGGGCGUAAAGGUUGCGCAGGCGGUCCUGCAAGUCUGGAGUGAAACGCAUGAGCUUAACUCAUGCAUGGCUUUGGAAACUGGAGGUCUGGAGGGCAGGAGAGGGAGGUGGAACUCCAUGUGUAGCGGUAAAAUGCGUAGAGAUAUGGAAGAACACCAGUGGCGAAGGCGGCCGCCUGGCCUGUUGCUGACGCUGAGGCACGAAAGCGUGGGGAGCAAAUAGGAUUAGAUACCCGUGUAGUC
rnacentral:rRNA from 1 species